UCUGAAAAGAUGAGAAUAAAAGACGAAAGUUAGUGGGAACACUCACACGAGUGUACAAACACAUUUUUAAACAUAAUCAUUACGCUGAUCCUAAGUUUUCGGACAUCAUGAUUCAGGCAAAGUCAGUAUGUAGGCAGUUCUCAUCAUUGUGUUUUAAGGUUUCAGAUCCUUAAUUUUCUGUCAUCAUUUUCUUUUUGAAUGAAAUCCCACUGGACAUUCACUGUGUCCGGUCAUGACUCUGGUGCGUACGUGCGAUUUUGAUGUGAGAUGCAGGAGAGAGAGAGAGAGAGAGAGAGAGGUAAGGAGAUCCAUUGACAUUUUUGGCUUGGUCUUGAAUGUACACGGGAUGAUCUUCACUCCAGCUCUUCAUAGAUUCUUGAACAUAUUUCUGCAUGUCACAGGUAAUCUGCGCUUUCAGAUGCGACGACUUGCAGAAAGCUCCAAUCAGCCCAUGUAUUCUCCUCUGCAAGUUUCCACUGAUGAGUAACACAGAGGACUUCCCCAUCAGCUCAGUCAGAGAUCUUGGAUAAGAGGGUCUCAGGGCGGUCAGAGUAAGCGCAAGAGAUGAAGUCGAGGGUUUCUCCGAGAAAAGGCCAUCCAAGAGUGCCUAAAGGGAGUCGAGGAGUGGUGUAGCUUGACAGGAGUUUGCAACAUAUGAGUUUCCUGUAGAAAAUAAUGGCGGACAGGAGGAUUGCUGUGGCCAACAAAUUGCCCGUACAAUUGUCCAUUUUGGAACUUUUUUUCCGCUAGCUACGUACUUAAGCAGGAAAUCAAUGGUAAAUCACUAGUGUUUUCCCCUAAUCAUGGUGAUGUAGUAGUACUUUUGUAGAGGAAAUGGGCCGACGUUCGAGUGAGAAAGAGAUUAAGUUGGGUAACCCCUCUUUUAAUGGAUGUAGAUGGGUGCGGCAGGAAAAAAAAAAAAGAAAAGAGAAAAGAAAGGAACGUGAUAUACACUGUAUGUGUGUGCUUGAGGGAUAAUUUGACGAGUCAGCACAUGUUGCCUCGAGGGUUCGUGCGCGGCUGGACCAGUGUUUUUGGCCGGUUUUCCUUGGGGAUAGGGGCCCGACCAAAUUAUUGACCGCAACUUUGGUCCAAAAUCCAAAUAAUAUGGAGCAUGGUGGAUUUUCAGGGUCU